rnacentral:rRNA from 1 species
UACGUAGGGGGCGAGCGUUGUCCGGAUUUAUUGGGCGUAAAGAGCUCGUAGGCGGCUUAGCAAGUCGGGUGUGAAAACUCCAGGCUCAACCUGGAGACGCCACUCGAGACUGCUAUGGCUAGAGUCCGGUAGGGGACCACGGAAUUCCUGGUGUAGCGGUGAAAUGCGCAGAUAUCAGGAGGAACGACCGGUGGCGAAGGCGGUGGUCUGGGCCGGCACUGACGCUGAGGAGCGAAAGCGUGGGGAGCAAACAGG